UUCGGGUUUUUGUUUGAAGGGAAGUUAAGGAUCGUUGAAAGGAAGUUAAGGGUUUUGUGAAUGCAAAAGAGGAUGGCGUUGAUGAAGCUGAGGAGCAGAGUAGAGGGGAGAGUACUAUGCUGGAGUGGUUUAGGUGCUUGACCUAAGAAGCUCCUAACCCUCCUCUGAGGUGGCCUUGGUUUCUGGAUGACCCAUCACAAUGUUGCAGCCUUGGUGGUCGUGAAACCUGGAGAGCAAAAUCCAUUGCAGGAAUCAUAACAGAGAGAGAUAUUUUCGCCAUGCUUCAAGUGAGAUGUAUGACAUUUCUCAAGGUCUGGCCAAAUCUGUUUGAAUAAAUAG